AACAGGAUUAGAUACCCUGGUAGUCCACGCUGUAAACGAUGUCGACUUGGAGGUUGUGCCCUUGAGGCGUGGCUUCCGGAGCUAACGCGUUAAGUCGACCGCCUGGGGAGUACGGCCGCAAGGUUAAAACUCAAAUGAAUUGACGGGGGCCCGCACAAGCGGUGGAGCGUGUGGUUUAAUUCGAUGCAACGCGAAGAACCUUACCUACUCUUGACAUCCAGAGAAUUUGCUAGAGAUAGCUUAGUGCCUUCGGGAACUCUGAGACAGGUGCUGCAUGGCUGUCGUCAGCUCGUGUUGUGAAAUGUUGGGUUAAGUCCCGCAACGAGCGCAACCCUUAUCCUUUGUUGCCAGCACGUAAUGGUGGGAACUCAAAGGAGACUGCCGGUGAUAAACCGGAGGAAGGUGGGGAUGACGUCAAGUCAUCAUGGCCCUUACGAGUAGGGCUACACACGUGCUACAAUGGCAUAUACAAAGAGAAGCGAACUCGCGAGAGCAAGCGGACCUCAUAAAGUAUGUCGUAGUCCGGAUUGGAGUCUGCAACUCGACUCCAUGAAGUCGGAAUCGCUAGUAAUCGUAGAUCAGAAUGCUACGGUGAAUACGUUCCCGGGCCUUGUACACACCGCCCGUCACACCAUGGGAGUGGGUUGCAAAAGAAGUAGGUAGCUUAACCUUCGGGAGGGCGCUUACCACUUUGUGAUUCAUGACUGGGGUGAAGUCGUAACAAGGUAACC
rnacentral:rRNA from 1 species